rnacentral:rRNA from 1 species
CAAUAGCGUAUAUUAAAGUUGUUGCAGUUAAAAAGCUCGUAGUUGGAUUUCUGGUUGGAGCGACCGGUCGGGCAUUGAUUUGUCUGCACUGGAGUCGGUUCUGGCCAUCCUCUUGGAAAGUGCGUCUGUCAUUAAGUUGUCGGGCGUAUGAUCCAGGUCUUUACUGUGAAAAAAUUAGAGUGUUCAAAGCGGGCGUUUGCUUGAAUAUAUUAGCAUGGAAUAAUGGAAUAGGACCCUGGUCCUAUUUUGUUGGUUUUGAGGACUAGAGUAAUGAUUAAUAGGGAUAGUUGGGGGCAUUCAUAUUUAAUUGUCAGAGGUGAAAUUCUUGGAUUUAUGAAAGAUGAACUUCUGCGAAAGCAUUUGCCAAGGAUGUUUUCAUUAAUCAAGAACGAAAGUUAGGGGAUAGAAGACGAUUAGAUACC